rnacentral:rRNA from 1 species
AGUGAACGCUGGCGGUAGGCCUAACACAUGCAAGUCGAACGGCAGCACAGUAAGAGCUUGCUCUUACGGGUGGCGAGUGGCGGACGGGUGCGGAAUACAUCGGAAUCUACUUUUUCGUGGGGGAUAACGUAGGGAAACUUACGCUAAUACCGCAUACGACCUACGGGCGAAAGCAGGGGAUCUUCGGACCUUGCACGAUUGAAUGAGCCGAUGUCGGAUUAGCUAGUUGGCGGGGUAAAGGCCCACCAAGGCGACGAUCCGUAGCUGGUCUGAGAGGAUGAUCAGCCACACUGGAACUGAGACACGGUCCAGACUCCUACGGGAGGCAGCAGUGGGGAAUAUUGGACAAUGGGCGCAAGCCUGAUCCAGCCAUACCGCGUGGGUGAAGAAGGCCUUCGGGUUGUAAAGCCCUUUUGUUGGGAAAGAAAAGCAGCAGGUUAAUACCCCGCUGUUCUGACGGUACCCAAAGAAUAAGCACCGGCUAACUUCGUG